CAUUUAUUGUCGAAAUCUCACCCGAGUUGGACGUGUGAAAUAUAAAUUUAUGGUAUCGAAAAACAUUGAAAAAAAGGUGUACCUCGCUGCAUGAAGGUUGUCCUAUCUUGAACUAAACAUUCCGCAAGUGUAUCUCUUUCGAUACUGAGCCUGUACAACAUUCUGCCAGAAACAGCGAACAGCGAAAUCCAAUCGCCAUUAGUUUUGGUUGAAAAUGAGCUGUUAUCCAUAUUGCUGCGAUUACUUCGGCGGUGGAUGUGCCCCAGCAGCGCCAUGUUACAGUGGCGGCCGAGCGUAUUGCUGUUACGGUGGAUGCCCAUCGCCAUGCUAUGAAAAUUACCCCUGCUGUCCGCCCUCCUGCCCAACCUAUUCCUGUCCACCGUGCUUCAGUGCAACAGCCCUGUGCCAGCGGGCUAGGAGGACGCGAUACAUGAUACUGAAGAAUGCGCUGAUGUAUGAUUGAGAAUACGACAACGACGUCGACAAACGACGGCAACAACGGCGACGAAUUCUAAUUGCUGCCCUGCAACUAGAUUACGAUGGCACUGGCGAGUAAUGAAGUUCAACGAGAGUUCAGGCGUUGUCAAUCAUCCGCUGUGUUAAUGUUAACAAAUUAAUAAACUCA